rnacentral:lncRNA from 1 species
UUUUUUUGUUUUUUUGUUUUUUUUUUUUGUCUUAUUUUUGCUAUUUCUUUGGGCCGCUUCCGCGGCACAUGGAGGUUCCCAGGCUAGGGGUCUAAUCAGAGCUGUAGCAACCGGCCUACGCCAGAGCCACAGCAACGCAGGAUCCAGCCGCGUCUGCAACCUACACCACAGCUCAAGGCAACGCCGGAUCAUUAACCCACUGAGCAAGGGCAGGGACCGACCCCGCAACCUCAUGGUUCUUAGUCGGAUUCGUUAACCCCUGCGCCACGACGGGAACUCCUCUAGGAGGUUUUUGUAUAUUCCUUGGUAUCUUCUAUGUAGAUAUUUUAGUCAUUCACAAAUAUAGACAAUUUUAUUUCGUCCUUUUCAGUACCUUUUAUUUCCUUUUCUUGCCUCAAAGAACUGGUUAGAACUUGAAGUACUAUACUGAAUGAGGAUGGACCUCCUUGCCUUAUCCCUGAUUUUAAGGGCAAAGCAUUCAGUCUUGUACCAUUAAAUACAGUUGUAAGCUGUAGGGUUUUUGUAGAUACUCUUAAGUUGAGGAAGUUUCCCUCUAUUGCUAUUUUUCUGAGAGUUUUUAUCAUGAAUGUGUGUUGAAUUUUGUCAAGUGCUUUUGGUGCAUCAUUUGAUAGGAUCAUGUCAUUUUUCCUCUUUAGUCUGUUAAUAUGGGAUUAUUUUAUUUUUCUGAGAGUUUUUAUCAUGAAUGUGUGUUGAAUUUCCUGCACUAAGUCUCACUUGGUCACAGUGUAUAAUUUUUUUCUAUAUUGCUGAUUUUGGUGUGCUAAUAUUUUGUUAAGGAUUUUUGCAUUUAUAUGCAUGAGAGAUAACGGUUUAUAAUUCUGUGUGUGUAUGCUGUUUUUGUCUGGCUUUGGUAUCAGGGUAACAUUAGCUUCAUAAAAUGAAUUGGCAAGUUCCCCCCUUCUAGCCCAUCCCACAUACACACAUUUUUUCUAUUUUUGGGAAGCGAUUAUGUAGAAUCAAUAUAUAUAUUUAAGCCUGCUAGAACUCAUCAGCACAUGAACGUUUUUUUGGGGGGGAUUAUUGCUAACUCUAUUUCCUUAAUAUUUAUAGGGUUAUAAACUUUAUUUUAUAUUUUCAGUUGUAGUAGUUUGUGUUUUAAGGAACUGAUUCAUUUCAACUAAAUUGCUGAGUUUAUGUGUACAGAGUUAGUUGCUCAUAGCAUUCCCUUAUUGAUCUUUCAAUAUCUGCUGAGUUGGUAGAGAUAUCUUUUGCUUCAUACCUGAUACUGGUCAUUUGUAUCUAUUUUUUUUAUUGUCAAUCUUGCUAAAAAGUUCAUUUUAUUGGUCUUUUCAAAGAAUAAACUCUUUGUUUCAUUGAUUUUCUCCAGUGUUUUUCAAUUUUAUUGAUUUAUGCUCUUUAUUAUUUCUUUCCUUCUACUUGCAGUGGAUUUAUUUUUUGCACUUCUUUUUCUAGAUUUUGAGGGGGGAGCUUAGAUUAUUGAUUUGGGAAUUUUCCUCUUUUCUAACAUGCUUUUAGUGUCAUAAAUUUCCCUCUUAGCACUGUUUUCAUGGUGUCCACAGAUUUGGAUAUGCUGUAUUUUCGCUUUUAUCCGGUUGAAGAUAUUUUUUAAAAAUUUCCCCAAGUCUUCACCUCUGAUCUGUGGGUUAUUUAGAGGUACGUUGUUUAGUUUGCAUAUGGUUAGAGAAUUUUCUGUAAUAUUCUAUCACUGAGUUCUACUUCAAUUUCAUUAUGUUCAGAUAAUAUAGUCUGUAUGAUUUCAAUUCUAAAUUUAUUAGGGUUUUUUGGUUUAUUUUCUUUUGUUCU